CUUCAAGAGAUGGCUCGUCUGCGUUCAAGAGAGAAAGCUACAGCGGCAAAGAACGAGUUUGCCUGAUGUGAACCACAAAGGCCAUGGAGGAUUUGAAGCACAGGGCUGGCGUGGUAUCGACCCACCAGUGGGAACCAGGCCAGAGUCUCCAUGAAAUAAAAACAUGUUGGCCAUUGCCCGCCAGUACAUGGCAGGCCAUACCGCUGGGGCAGAGAGUUGCAGCACAAGCACAGGAACGAGACAGUUUGAUUUUUAAAAUAUUUCCCGCAACAAGUAGAGAUGGGAUGAGGAGAAGAACCUGAAAAGAAAGAACAACUAGUCUUAGAAGAAUUAGGGUUGAAGGAAGCAGAGAACAGACAAGACAGCAUCUCUCUCUUCAAUGGUGUAUGGGAGAAGAGGACCAUGUGUAGGGGACACCUGCAUCUGAGCCAGAGUACCUGCUCUGUCACGUGCAAGAGACAGUUUUAUUUGAAACUCUUUGGCCUUUCUCCCUUCUUCCUUUCCCUCUGUCUGUCUCUCUCUACCUCUCCUUCCCUUUCUCUGUCUCUCUGUCUCUCUCUCUCUCAUAUCUCUCUUCCUCCCUCUCACUUCCUCCCUCCCUCUCUCUUCUUUUUCCCCUCUCUGAUAACUUCCUAUGUACCAGACCUCCUCCCAACAGCUUUCGAGGCAUGGAGGUAUUAUCAUUGCCUUCCUUUACCAGAAGGUUGGUACCCAAUGAUUCCCAGCCACCAUGCUGUGAUGAAGAUAAUGCUUGAGCCUGGAUAUUGCAUACUAGUCAAUGAAAAGAUGCAAAGCAGAUCGCCAUGCUUUAAAGAAACUCAGGAUGAUGCAGAGAAGCACGAUGCUUAUCAAGGGCUUGAUGUGAUUAAAUGCUACAAUAGACCACUGCUGCAAGUGUCUGGGACUGUAGACAAGGGACAGCUAAUCUACUGCAAGGUAAGCUUCAGAGAGGAGAUGAUUUUUGAACUGGGCCUUGGUAUGCACUCACGGUAUGAACUCACCAAACAUUCUCAA
rnacentral:lncRNA from 1 species